rnacentral:rRNA from 1 species
GAUGAACGCUAGCGGCAGGCCUAAUACAUGCAAGCCGAACGGCAAGAGUUGAUAGCAAUAUUGAUCCUGGAGUGGCGUAAGGGUGCGUAACACGUAUGCAAAUCUACCCUCAACAGGAGGAUAGCUCCCCGAAAGGGGAAUUAAGACUCCAUAAGAUCAUUUGGUGGCAUCAUUGAAUGAUUAAACUUCCAGGGGUUGAGGAUGAGCAUGCGCCNGAUUAGUUAGUUGGCGGGGUAAGGGCCCACCAAGACGAUGAU